CGGGGUUUAGCUCAGCUGGUUCGGCGCAUCCCGAUUUUACAUCGGGAGGGUCACUGGUUCGAAUCCAGUAGCCUCCA
rfam:Pseudopedobacter saltans DSM 12145 chromosome, complete genome.